rnacentral:tRNA from 1 species
GGUGGCUCAGUGGUAGAGUGCUUGCCUUGCAUGCAUGAGGCCCUGGGUUUGAGGUCUCAGCACCA